GGCCCCAUCGUCUAGCGGCCUAGGACACAUGGUUUUCAUCCAUGGAAUCUGGGGUUCGAAUCCCCAUGGGGUCA
rnacentral:tRNA from 1 species